CCCGCAUUUAAAGCCUCCAUACUAUAGUGAAAACAACAGUAGCAAAAAUUUUAUUCUGUAAAAAAAAAUCAAUUCGCCGCCAUCAUAAUUUGUAGUCUUUUGAAACUCCUACGUUAUCACGGCGCCAUCUUGUGUGGCAAUUGUUAUUGAAGUGCUUAGCCAUAUGAAGUCAUAUGAAAGGAUACAAAAGUUGAUCCUGAGUAAAGCUGGUUCACUUAACUGAUGUAGUAAUGUGUGUUAAGCCAUUUCGUAGACGAAAAUAAAUAAAGUUGCGGCACCCUUUCAGAUCAUCUACAUUGCAGCAGGUAUUUAAGACCAAGAAAUUGCGAAAAAAAAUGCCCCAGCAAUGUCAUCAACAUAGUCCUAAACGCAUGUAACAGAUCCCUCACGAAUCCUACAGCUAGCGUUCGAUCAACAGAGCCCAUCCAGCCUCAACAAAAAUUUAGAGUUCGCCACUAAAACUUGCCAAAAAGCAGCAGACGCACAGAAAUAGCAGGAGGAGGAAUACUGUACUGUUAACGCAUUGUUCUUGUGAAGACAAUGUAGUAUUAGCUGAUAGUAUGCAGUUAGUAGUAGCAUAUCACCUAUGAUGCAGUACAAUGUAAAAGAAAUGCAGCGGAUUUUACCAAAAAAUUAUUCAAUUACAUUUAUUAUUUUAAUUAAAAUAUUUAUUGCAUUAUUUUUAUAAAUUUUUUACUGCUUUUACUAUUUAAAAUUCUAAUAAUUAUAAAAAUAU